UGGCAUCCUGGCCAGAAGGCCAGAUCAGAAAUAGUCUGAAAAUAAAACCAAGCACAGUAGAGUAGGGAAAUCAGGUCCUCAGCACCAAAUGUUUCACUCUACAGGCCCACCCCCAUGGGUCAUGCUCCUCGCUAUUGCAGACAUAGGCUCAGCCAUCUGCCCCUGUUUCCUGGCUCUCUGACGGGUGGUAUAAGUAGACCAUACCUGCAUGAAGUUUUCCUUUGCCGUUAUAACAUCUUUGUAUCAAUAUUUAUCACUUGUAAUCUGCUGCAGGGCUUAUCCUACCUUUAGGCAAGCAGAUGAAACUGCCAGAGGAGUGCAACCAACUAUUCCUCCCAUGCAUGAAUGCAGUCUCACAGAAGCACAUCACUGGUAAUCAAGGUGUGGAAGGAGUAUUGCUCAAACUUCAGAAGAGUCUGCUUUAUAUACUUCCAGCAGAAAUGCCACAUUUCUGGUUUCUUUCACCAGCUGAAGGUGAACAGAUUUGAAGAAGUCUUUCAAACACUGUGGUGUUUUGUGCAGCUGUUCAGAGCAUGUAAAAAUAGCUACCAUGCCAUCCUGGUUGUGUUGUACAUCACUUCUGUCGCAUCGGUGUAAUGAACUGAUCAAAGCACCAACUGGUGGAGAGGUAAUGUCUGAUAGUUGAAGUGUGAACCU
rnacentral:lncRNA from 13 species